UACGUAGGGUGCGAGCGUUAAUCGGAAUUACUGGGCGUAAAGCGUGCGCAGGCGGUUUGUUAAGCCAGAUGUGAAAGCCCCGGGCUCAACCUGGGAACUGCGUUUGGUACUGGCAAGCUAGAGUGCGGCAGAGGGGGGUGGAAUUCCACGUGUAGCAGUGAAAUGCGUAGAGAUGUGGAGGAACACCGAUGGCGAAGGCAGCCCCCUGGGCCGACACUGACGCUCAGGCACGAAAGCGUGGGGAGCAAACAGG
rnacentral:rRNA from 1 species